rnacentral:rRNA from 1 species
UACAGAGGGGGCGAGCGUUGUUCGGAAUUACUGGGCGUAAAGGGCGCGUAGGCGGCCCGCUAAGUCGAACGUGAAAUCCCCAGGCUCAACCUGGGAACUGCGUCCGAUACUGGCAGGCUUGAAUCCGGGAGAGGGAUGUGGAAUUCCAGGUGUAGCGGUGAAAUGCGUAGAUAUCUGGAGGAACACCGGUGGCGAAGGCGACAUCCUGGACCGGUACUGACGCUGAGACGCGAAAAGCGUGGGGGAGCGAACAGG